CCUACGGGUGGCAGCAGUGAGGAAUAUUGGUCAAUGGGCGCGAGCCUGAACCAGCCAAGUCGCGUGAGGGAAGACGGUCCUAUGGAUUGUAAACCUCUUUUGUCGGGGAGCAAAAGACGCCACGCGUGGCGUUCCGAGAGUACCCGAAGAAAAAGCAUCGGCUAACUCCGUGCCAGCAGCCGCGGUAAUACGGAGGAUGCGAGCGUUAUCCGGAUUUACUGGGUGUAAAGGGAGCGUAGGCGGGACGGCAAGUCAGAUGUGAAAACUGAGGGCUCAACUUUCAGACUGCAUUUGAAACUGCUGUUCUUGAGUGAAGUAGAGGUAAGCGGAAUUCGUAGUGUAGCGGUGAAAUGCGUAGAUAUUAGGAGGAACAUCGGUGGCGAAGGCGGCUUACUGGGCUUUUACUGACGCUGAGGCUCGAAAGCGUGGGGAGCAAACAGGAUUAGAUACCCCGGUAGUC
rnacentral:rRNA from 1 species